UUUGCGGAAACGUUAGAAACAAACAGCUGUUUGAUUAACUUCAAAUGAACUUAUAAAAUUUGUUCAAUUUACGUCAUUCGAUACUUUAAAUUAAAAAGUGAUUCUGUGUUUUGUUUUAAUUACAUUUUACAAAUAUUUUCGCUCUUCAAAAUGCCAAGAACUAGCUAUAAAACAAAAUUAAUUCAAUUGUAUGAACAAAUCGCUUUAAAUGAAUUGUUGAUGUUGGAGUUAUUUUGUGAAAACGAUGAUACAUACCUUUAUGAACGUGAAAUCAAGAGAAAGAGGACGAGAUAAGAGAAGACUUAUGAUCCUAAUGUUAAUUGCUGAAAAUUCCCGAUAUACAGCUCCGUUUUUGCAAAUCGCACAUAUUUUUGGAAAAUGUCUUGCCUCAUUUGGAUGAAGAUCGGUUCAAGCAGAUCGUUCGCGUCAAUUGGGCAAAUUUUAAUAUCAUCCUAGACCUAAUUAAAGAUGACGAGAUAUUUCAUGGACCAAGAUCAUGUCGACAGUUCCCUGUUAGAACACAAUUGACAAUAAUGCUUUAUCGAUUGGGAUCUAGUGGAGAAGGAGCUUCGAUUGCCAAAAUUGCAAGAUUGUUCGGUAUUGGUGACGGUGGUACAAUCCAGUAUAUCACCAAAAGAGUUUUUGAGGCAAUACUUAUACUUAAAAACUAAUAUCUGUUUUGGCCAGAUGCACCAGAGUAGAAAAAUUUGACUUUGGAAACGUUAUAUGAACUCCCGCUCUGUAUCGGAUACGUUGAUGGCACUGAAAUCAAGUUAGCAGAAAACCUUCAGAAGACCCUGAAAAAGGACAGAUUUUUUGUACUUUUUUCUUCUCCAGUUUCCAGGAGACCGGCACCUGUUUUUCCUUCCAGUCUACCGCUGACAUAUAGGUUCCUUUUAGGUACCUCAUUUUGCUCUUCAUGCAUAUUCAGUAGAUGCUGGCCAACUGCGGAGAAAUUUCUGCGAGCCUUUGAAAAAACCUUUGGGCUGUUGGUUUCUGGAAGGAACAGAUUUUUAUUAAAACAAAGCUGAAAAAGAGGCAUUAAAUGUAUAAAUACUUCAUAGCUUUCGGGGUUAUCUUUCACUGCCUCCACUGCCAACUCCAGCAUCAAGUUUUUUUUUAACUGUGUUCAGCGGUGCGAUGGUUGAUAUGGCCGUGGGGGUUUUUUAAUUUGUUAAUCUUGUUUCUGCAUUAAAAAAAAUAAAUUUUAAAUAAAUUAUCUAAAAUAUAAUUGGUUUUCUUACCUUGGAUUUUUUUUUUUUUUGUUUUUUGUUGAGUGUUGACGAAUAAUAUGAGCGCGUUAUGUGUUAGGUAUGUCAAAACAAACGUCACAAAAUUUAUUUGUUGUUUUUUUACGAUUUCUGCUUCAAAAUUGAGAGAUAAAAUUCUAUAUUUUACAGAAUAUUUUUCCCAUACAAAUUCUACA